rnacentral:tRNA from 1 species
GUUUUUUUAGUAUAAUUAGUAUAUUUGACUUCCAAUCAAAAGGUCUAAAUAUUUUAGAAAAAAUA